AGGAAUAUUGGUCAAUGGGCGAGAGCCUGAACCAGCCAAGUAGCGUGCAGGACGACGGCCCUAUGGGUUGUAAACUGCUUUUAUAAGGGAAUAAAGUGAGUCUCGUGAGACUUUUUGCAUGUACCUUAUGAAUAAGGAUCGGCUAACUCCGUGCCAGCAGCCGCGGUAAUACGGAGGAUCCGAGCGUUAUCCGGAUUUAUUGGGUUUAAAGGGAGCGUAGAUGGAUGUUUAAGUCAGUUGUGAAAGUUUGCGGCUCAACCGUAAAAUUGCAGUUGAUACUGGAUAUCUUGAGUGCAGUUGAGGCAGGCGGAAUUCGUGGUGUAGCGGUGAAAUGCUUAGAUAUCACGAAGAACUCCGAUUGCGAAGGCAGCCUGCUAAGCUGCAACUGACAUUGAGGCUCGAAAGUGUGGGUAUCAAACAGGAUUAGAUACCCUGGUAGUCCACACGGUAAACGAUGAAUACUCGCUGUUUGCGAUAUACAGCAAGCGGCCAAGCGAAAGCGUUAAGUAUUCCACCUGGGGAGUACGCCGGCAACGGUGAAACUCAAAGGAAUUGACGGGGGCCCGCACAAGCGGAGGAACAUGUGGUUUAAUUCGAUGAUACGCGAGGAACCUUACCCGGGCUUAAAUUGCAGAUGAAUUACGGUGAAAGCCGUAAGCCGCAAGGCAUCUGUGAAGGUGCUGCAUGGUUGUCGUCAGCUCGUGCCGUGAGGUGUCGGCUUAAGUGCCAUAACGAGCGCAACCCUUGUUGUCAGUUACUAACAGGUUUCGCUGAGGACUCUGACAAGACUGCCAUCGUAAGAUGUGAGGAAGGUGGGGAUGACGUCAAAUCAGCACGGCCCUUACGUCCGGGGCUACACACGUGUUACAAUGGGGGGUACAGAGGGCCGCUACCACGCGAGUGGAUGCCAAUCCCAAAAACCUCUCUCAGUUCGGACUGGAGUCUGCAACCCGACUCCACGAAGCUGGAUUCGCUAGUAAUCGCGCAUCAGCCACGGCGCGGUGAAUACGUUCCCG
rnacentral:rRNA from 1 species